UACGUAGGGGCAAGCGUUGCCCGGAUUUAUUGGGCGUAAAGAGCGUGUAGGCGGCUGGGUAGGUCCGCUGUGAAAACUCGAGGCUUAACCUCGAGACGUCGGUGGAAACCAUCCAGCUAGAGUCCGGAAGAGGAGAGUGGAAUUCCUGGUGUAGCGGUGAAAUGCGCAGAUAUCAGGAAGAACACCCGUGGCGAAAGCGGCUCUCUGGGACGGUACUGACGCUGAGGAGCGAAAGCGUGGGGAGCGAACAGG
rnacentral:rRNA from 1 species